rnacentral:rRNA from 1 species
GAUGAACGCUGGCGGCGUGCCUAAUACAUGCAAGUCGAGCGAACGGACGAGAAGCUUGCUUCUCUGAUGUUAGCGGCGGACGGGUGAGUAACACGUGGAUAACCUACCUAUAAGACUGGGAUAACUUCGGGAAACCGGAGCCAAUACCGGAUAAUAUUUUGAACCGCAUGGUUCAAAAGUGAAAGACGGUCUUGCUGUCACUUAUAGAUGGAUCCGCGCUGCAUUAGCUAGUUGGUAAGGUAACGGCUUACCAAGGCAACGAUGCAUAGCCGACCUGAGAGGGUGAUCGGCCACACUGGAACUGAGACACGGUCCAGACUCCUACGGGAGGCAGCAGUAGGGAAUCUUCCGCAAAGGGCGAAAGCCUGAUGGAGCAACGCCGCGUGAGUGAUGAAGGUCUUCGGAUCGUAAAACUCUGUUAUUAGGGAAGAACAUAUGUGUAAGUAACUGUGCACAUCUUGACGGUACCUAAUCAGAAAGCCACGGCUAACUACGUG